GACGAACGCUGGCGGCGUGCUUAACACAUGCAAGUCGAACGAAGUGGCGAACGGGUGAGUAACGCGUAAUCAACCUGCCCUUCAGAGGGGGACAACAGUUGGAAACGACUGCUAAUACCGCAUACUGAUGGGGGGGAUUUCGUCGGGUUAGCUAGUUGGGGGGGUAACUGCCCACCCAGGCGAGGAUCAGUAGCCGGUCUUGGAGGGUGAACGGCCACAUUUGGACUGGGACACGGCCCAGACCCCUACGGGAGGCAGCAGUGAGGAAUCUUCCGCAAUGGACGAAAGUCUUACGGAGCAACGCCGCGUGAGUGAUGACGGCCUUCGGGUUGUAAAGCUUUGUUAAUCGGGACGCGGUACCGGAAUAGAAAGCCACGGCUAACUACGUGCCAGCAGCCGCGGUAAUUC
rnacentral:rRNA from 1 species